CCUACGGGAGACAGCAGUGGGGAAUAUUGCACAAUGGGGGAAACCCUGAUGCAGCGACGCAGCGUGAGUGAAGAAGUAAUUCGUUACGUAAAGCUCUAUCAGUAGGGAAGAAAAUGACGGUACCUGAGUAAGAAGCCCCGGUUAACUUCGUGCCAGCAGCCGCGGUAAUACGUAGGGGGCAAGCGUUAUCCGGCUUUACUGGGUGUAAAGGGAGCUUAGACGGUGCGCCAAGUCUGGAGUGAAAUGCCGAAGCUUAACUGCGGAACUGCUUUGGACACUGGCGAACUAGAGUGCGGGAGGGGUAAGCGGAAUUCCUAGUGUAGCGGUGAAAUGCGUAGAUAUUAGGAGGAACACCGGUGGCGAAGGCGGCUUACUGGACCGUAACUGACGUUGAGGCUCGAAAGCGUGGGGAGCAAACAGGAUUAGAUACCCGAGUAGUC
rnacentral:rRNA from 1 species